GAGCUACAAUGCAGUCGAGCGGAUGACGGGAGCUUGCUCCUUGAUUCAGCGGCGGACGGGUGAGUAAUGCCUAGGAAUCUGCCUGGUAGUGGGGGACAACGUUUCGAAAGGAACGCUAAUACCGCAUACGUCCUACGGGAGAAAGCAGGGGACCUUCGGGCCUUGCGCUAUCAGAUGAGCCUAUGUCGGAUUAGCUAGUUGGUGGGGUAAUGGCUCACCAAGGCGACGAUCCGUAACUGGUCUGAGAGGAUGAUCAUUCACACUGGAACUGAGACACGGUCCAGACUCCUACGGGAGGCAGCAGUGGGGAAUAUUGGACAAUGGGCGAAAGCCUGAUCCAGCCAUGCCGCGUGUGUGAAGAAGGUCUUCGGAUUGUAAAGCACUUUAAGUUGGGAGGAAGGGCAGUAAGCUAAUACCUUGCUGUUUUGACGUUACCGACAGAAUAAGCACCGGCUAACUCUGUGCCAGCAGCCGCGGUAAUACAAAGGGUGCAAGCGUUAAUCGGAAUUACUGGGCGUAAAGCGCGCGUACGUGGUUCGUUAAGUUGGAUGUGAAAGCCCCGGGCUCAACCUGGGAACUGCAUCCAAAACUGGCGAGCUAGAGUACGGUAGAGGGUGGUGGAAUUUCCUGUGUAGCGGUGAAAUGCGUAGAUAUAGGAAGGAACACCAGUGGCGAAAGCGACCACCUGGACUGAUACUGACACUGAGGUGCGAAAGCGUGGGGAGCAAACACGAUUAGAUACC
rnacentral:rRNA from 1 species